AGGUUGUUUGGAUCCCAGACUGACUAUCGUCUAACCAAAGAGCGCACAGGAACCACACGGCUCACUGGGAUGUGUGUGAACAGAAUGCAGAGACGGUUUAAGCUGGUCGGAGAUGGAUCUUGCUAUUCUUUCAAAGGUCUUUGCCCUGAAUCUUGAAGGUGGCUCUUCUCUGCUCGGGUUGACACAGUAAAACAGCUUCCAGAGCAUUAGACACUGCCUGACAGGAAUAAUCUCCCAGAACUUCAUAGCACUGGUCUGGCCUUCACCCUCACAACCAGUAUGAG